AUUGAACGCUGGCGGCAGGCUUAACACAUGCAAGUCGAGCGGGGGAAGGUAGCUUGCUACCGGACCUAGCGGCGGACGGGUGAGUAAUGCUUAGGAAUCUGCCUAUUAGUGGGGGACAACAUCUCGAAAGGGAUGCUAAUACCGCAUACGUCCUACGGGAGAAAGCAGGGGAUCUUCGGACCUUGCGCUAAUAGAUGAGCCUAAGUCGGAUUAGCUAGUUGGUGGGGUAAAGGCCUACCAAGGCGACGAUCUGUAGCGGGUCUGAGAGGAUGACGCGCCACACGGGGACUGAGACACGUGCCAGACUCCUACGGGAGGCAGCAGUGGGGAAUAUUGGACAAGGGGGAGAACCCUGAUCCAGCCAUGCCGCGUGUGUGAAGAAGGCCUUAUGGUUGUAAAGCACUUUAAGCGAGGAGGAGGCUACUUUAGUUAAUACCUAGAGAUAGUGGACGUUACUCGCAGAAUAAGCACCGGCUAACUCUGUGCCAGCCGCCGCCGUAA
rnacentral:rRNA from 1 species